GAUGAACGCUGGCGGCGUGCCUAAUACAUGCAAGUCGAGCGAACGGACGAGAAGCUUGCUUCUCUGAUGUUAGCGGCGGACGGGUGAGUAACACGUGGAUAACCUACCUAUAAGACUGGGAUAACUUCGGGAAACCGGAGCUAAUACCGGAUAAUAUUUUGAACUGCAUGGUUCAAAGGUGAAAGACGGUCUUGCUGUCACUUAUAGAUGGAUCCGCGCUGCAUUAGCUAGUUGGUAAGGUAACGGCUUACCAAGGCAACGAUGCAUAGCCGACCUGAGAGGGUGAUCGGCCACACUGGAACUGAGACACGGUCCAGACUCCUACGGGAGGCAGCAGUAGGGAAUCUUCCGCAAUGGGCGAAAGCCUGACGGAGCAACGCCGCGUGAGUGAUGAAGGUCUUCGGAUCGUAAAACUCUGUUAUUAGGGAAGAACAUAUGUGUAAGUAACUGUGCACAUCUUGACGGUACCUAAUCAGAAAGCCACGGCUAACUACGUG
rnacentral:rRNA from 1 species